CUAUGAAAUGCAGCUUAUGUGGUGUGAUAGGCCACAACAAAAGGGGUUGCAAGAAUGCCCCUAAGCAACAACAACACAGCAACAAUCAUGCUACUGCAGAGCAGACCACACCACAGCAACAACACCCAAGAACCAGUUCAGCUAUACCAAUGCACAAUAGGGGUGUGGGUAUUUAUACCUACCCAAAUGGGUAUCAAAGAAUAGCUACUCCUAUAUCACAACACUUCCCCACACCACAGAGGCAAAGACCUCCUGCAGCUUUCUAUUCUGAUCAUGGGGGUGAGCAAACCAUCUACUCCUUCCCUGCACAUGACUUCCCAUUGUCACAGACUCAACCAAGCCAAGGACACACAAUAUCAAGCCAAGCAUUGCAGGAUCUUGCAAUGGCUAGAAGAUUAGAAAAAAGACCAUGAGAAAAAUACCUUUUUGUUGAGAAGAGUCAGCUAUGGUGGAGCAACAGAGAAAAAACACAGAGCAGAAAAUGGAGAAGAA